rnacentral:rRNA from 1 species
UACGAGUGCUCCAAGCGUUAUCCGGAAUCAUUGGGCGUAAAGGGUGUGUAGGUGGUUGUGUUAGUCUUCUGUUAAAUUCUUCGGCUUAACCGGGGGCAUGCAGGGGAAACGGCACGACUAGAGGAUGCGAGAGGUGAAUGGAACUCAUGGAGUAGGGGUGAAAUCCGUUGAUAGUCAUGGGGAACACCAAAUGCGAAGGCAAUUCACUGGCGCACUUCCUGACACUGAGACACGAAAGCGUAGGUAGCGAAUGGG